UCCCAGUGAUGAAUCAUUUAGUAAUCUGAAAUGUUACAUGAUUGGUGCUCCCUUUUCCAAAAAGGUUGAGGAACCAUUGUGGAUACUAGGCAUUCUGAGGGAC